CCCAGCUUACCUGCUGCAUCUGUCACUGAGUCUGAGACUCAUAGCAGCCAGCCAGUUACCUGCCAGGCCGCCCACAGCACCAGGAAGAAUGUUAUUAUCUGAUAGUAACAGCAGGGGUCCACAGUGUGGCCGGGCCCCCUGGAGUGCCAGGCCCAGUUGCAAUUGUGACCCCUGUAGGUACGCCACUGUGUCCACCCCAUUCUUAAAAUUGUACAUAGGCACAUAGCC